rnacentral:rRNA from 1 species
GACGAACGCUGGCGGCGUGCUUAACACAUGCAAGUUGAACGGGCAGGUAUGGAAGCUUGCUGAAGUAUCUGUUAGUAGCGGACGGGUGAGUAAUGCAUGAGAAGCUGCCAUUGGGAGGGGGACAACAGUUGGAAACGGCUGCUAAUACCCCAUAUGCCGGAAGGUGAAACGGAGUGAUCCGCCCGAUGAGGUGCUCAUGUCCUAUCAGCUAGUUGGUGAGGUAACGGCCCACCAAGGCGACGACGGGUAGCCGGCCUGAGAGGGUGACCGGCCACACUGGAACUGAGAUACGGUCCAGACUCCGACGGGAGGCAGCAGUGGGGAAUAUUGGGCAAUGGGGGCAACCCUGACCCAGCGACGCCGCGUGAGGGAAGACGGCCUUCGGGUUGUAAACCUCUUUUGUACGGGAAGAAGGAUGUGACGGUACCGUGCGAAUAAGUCCCGGCUAACUACGUGCCAGCAGCCGCCGUAA